rnacentral:rRNA from 1 species
GAAUUCGCCCUUAGAGUUUGAUCCUGGCUCAGGAUAAACGCUGGCGGCGCACAUAAGACAUGCAAGUCGAACGAACUUAACCCUUUGUUUACAUUGGGAGCGGUUAGUGGCGGACUGGUGAGUAACACGUAAGCAACCUGCCUAUUAGAGGGGAAUAACAGUGAGAAAUCAUUGCUAAUACCGCAUAUGCUCACAGUAUCACAUGAUACAGUGAGGAAAGGAGCAAUCCGCUAAUAGAUGGGCUUGUGUCUGAUUAGCUAGUUGGUGGGGUAACGGCCUACCAAGGCGACGAUCAGUAGCCGGACUGAGAGGUUGAACGGCCACAUUGGGACUGAGAUACGGCCCAGACUCCUACGGGAGGCAGCAGUCGGGAAUAUUGCGCAAUGGAGGAAACUCUGACGCAGUGACGCCGCGUAUAGGAAGAAGGUUUUCGGAUUGUAAACUAUUGUCGUUAGGGAAGAUAAAAGACAGUACCUAAGGAGGAAGCUCCGGCUAACUAUGUGCCAGCAGCCGCGGUAAUACAUAGGGAGCAAGCGUUAUCCGGAAUUAUUGGGUGUAAAGGGUGCGUAGACGGAGGAACAAGUUAGUUGUGAAAUCCCUCGGCUUAACUGAGGAACUGCAACUAAAACUAUUCCCCUUGAGUGUCGGAGAGGAAAGUGGAAUUCCUAGUGUAGCGGUGAAAUGCGUAGAUAUUAGGAGGAACACCAGUGGCGAAGGCGACUUUCUGGACGAUAACUGACGUUGAGGUACGAAAGUGUGGGGAGCAAGCAGGAUUAGAUACCCUGGUAGUCCACACCGUAAACGAUGGAUACUAGGUGUAGGGUGUAUUAAGCACUCUGUGCCGCCGCAAACGCAUUAAGUAUCCCACCUGGGGAGUACGACCGCAAGGUUGAAACUCAAAGGAAUUGACGGGGGCCCGCACAAGCAGUGGAGUAUGUGGUUUAAUUCGAAGCAACGCGAAGAACCUUACCAGGGCUUGACAUAUACCGGAAUAUACUAGAGAUAGUAUAGUCCUUCGGGACUGGUAUACAGGUGGUGCAUGGUUGUCGUCAGCUCGUGUCGUGAGAUGUUGGGUUAAGUCCCGCAACGAGCGCAACCCCUAUCGUUAGUUGCUAGCAGGUAAAGCUGAGAACUCUAGCGAGACUGCCGGUGAUAAAUCGGAGGAAGGUGGGGAUGACAUCAAAUCAUCAUGCCCUUUAUGUCCUGGGCUACACACGUACUACAAUGGCCGCAACAGAGGGAAGCGAAAUAGUGAUAUGGAGCAAAACCCGAAAAACGGUCUCAGUUCGGAUUGUAGUCUGCAACCCGACUACAUGAAGCUGGAAUCGCUAGUAAUCGCGGAUCAGAAUGCCGCGGUGAAUACGUUCCCGGGUCUUGCACUCACCGCCCGUCA